GAUGAACGCUAGCGGCAGGCUUAAUACAUGCAAGUCGAACGGCAGCACGAUGUAGCAAUACGUUGGUGGCGAGUGGCGCACGGGUGCGUAGCGCGUAUGCAACCUACCCUAUACUGGAACAUAACGUUGAGAAAUCGGCGCUAAUAUUCCAUAGUUUUUAGUGAAGGCAUCUUUAUUAAAAUAAAGAUUUAUUGGUAUAGGAUGGGCAUGCGUGUCAUUAGCUAGUUGGUAGGGUAAUGGCUUACCAAGGCAACGAUGACUAGGGGUUCUGAGAGGAUUACCCCCCACACUGGAACUGAGACACGGUCCAGACUCCUACGGGAGGCAGCAGUAGGGAAUAUUGGGCAAUGGAAGAAAUUCUGACCCAGCCAUGCCGCGUGCAGGAAGACGGUCCUAUGGAUUGUAAACUGCUUUUAUUAUAGAUUAACCGUGGGGACGUGUCCCCGCCUGCAAGUAUAUAAUGAAUAAGCAUCGGCUAACUCCGUGCCAGCAGCCGCGGUAAUACGGGGGAUGCAAGCGUUAUCCGGAUUUAUUGGGUUUAAAGGGUGCGCAGGCGGAUAAAUAAGUCAGGGGUGAAAAGUCGCAGCUUAACUGUGAUCGUGCCUUUGAUACUGUUUAACUAGAGUUUCAAAUGACGUAACUGGAAUGUGACAUGUAGCGGUGAAAUGCUUAGAUAUGUCACAGAACGCCGAUCGUGAAGACAGGUUACGAAUUUAGGACUGACGCUCAUGCACGAAAGCGUGGGGAUCAAACAGGAUUAGAUACCCUGGUAGUCCACGCUGUAAACGAUGAUCACUCGUUGUUGGUCAGUAAUGGUCAGCGGCCAAGCGAAAGCGAUAAGUGAUCCACCUGGGGAGUACGAUCGCAAGGUUGAAACUCAAAGGAAUUGACGGGGGCCCGCACAAGCGGAGGAGCAUGUGGUUUAAUUCGAUGAUACGCGAGGAACCUUACCCGGGCUUGAACGUAAUACGACUAUACUGGAGACAGUAUAUCCUACGGGCGUAUUGCGAGGUGCUGCAUGGUUGUCGUCAGCUCGUGCCGUGAGGUGUUAGGUUAAGUCCUGCAACGAGCGCAACCCUUACACGUAGUUGCCAGCAUGUAAUGAUGGGGACUCUGCGUGAACUGCCUACGCAAGUAGAGAGGAAGGUGGGGAUGACGUCAAAUCAGCACGGCCCUUAUGUCCGGGGCUACACACGUGCUACAAUGGCAUAUACAGAGGGCAGCUACCGGGUGACCGGAUGCGAAUCUCAAAAGUAUGCCUCAGUUCGGAUUGGAGUCUGUAACUCGACUCUAUGAAGUUGGAUUCGCUAGUAAUCGCGCAUCAGCCAUGGCGCGGUGAAUACGUUCCCGGGCCUUGUACACACCGCCCGUCAAGCCAUGGAAGUCCGUGGUACCUGAAGUCUGUGCCCGCAAGGAGCGGCCUAGGGUAAAACGGGUAACUGGGGC
rnacentral:rRNA from 1 species